CGCGGCCUAUCAGCUUGUUGGUGAGGUAAUGGCUCACCAAGGCGACGACGGGUAGCCGGCCUGAGAGGGCGACCGGCCACACUGGGACUGAGACACGGCCCAGACUCCUACGGGAGGCAGCAGUGGGGAAUAUUGCACAAUGGGCGAAAGCCUGAUGCAGCGACGCCGCGUGAGGGAUGACGGCCUUCGGGUUGUAAACCUCUUUCAGCUCCGAAGAAGCGAGAGUGACGGUAGGAGCAGAAGAAGCACCGGCUAACUACGUGCCAGCAGCCGCGGUAAUACGUAGGGUGCAAGCGUUGUCCGGAAUUAUUGGGCGUAAAGAGCUCGUAGGUGGUUCGUCGCGUCUGCUGUGAAAGUCCGGGGCUUAACCUCGGAUCUGCAGUGGGUACGGGCGGACUAGAGUGCGGUAGAGGAGAUGGGAAUUCCUGGUGUAGCGGUGGAAUGCGCAGAUAUCAGGAGGAACACCGGUGGCGAAGGCGCAUCUCUGGGCCGUAACUGACGCUGAGGAGCGAAAGCAUGGGGAGCAAACAGGCUUAGAUACCCUGGUAGUCCAUGCCGUAAACGUUGGGCGCUAGGUGUGGGGUCCUAUCCACGGAUUCCGUGCCGCAGCUAACGCAUUAAGCGCCCCGCCUGGGGAGUACGG
rnacentral:rRNA from 1 species